rnacentral:tRNA from 1 species
AAUAAGGUGACUGAGUUUAAGUGGUAAACUGUAAAUUUAUAAACGAAGAUUUUUCUUCCCUUA